UACCAGCACCCCGAGUGGUCGGGACGUUUAUUGGGCCUAAAGCAUCCGUAGCCGGUUCUACAAGUCUUCCGUUAAAUCCACCUGCUUAACAGAUGGGCUGCGGAAGAUACUAUGGAGCUAGGAGGCGGGAGAGGCAAGCGGUACUCGAUGGGUAGGGGUAAAAUCCGUUGAUCCAUUGAAGACCACCAGUGGCGAAGGCGGCUUGCCAGAACGCGAUCGACGGUGAGGGAUGAAAGCUGGGGGAGCAAACCGG
rnacentral:rRNA from 1 species